GAUGAAGAACGUAGCGAAAUGCGAUAAGUAAUGUGAAUUGCAGAAUUCAGUGAAUCAUCGAAUCUUUGAACGCACAUUGCGCCCCUUGGUAUUCCGAGGGGCAUGCCUGUUCGAGCGUCAUUAUAACCCCUCAAGCUCAGCUUGGUGUUGGGGCCUGCUGCACUGGCAGCCCUUAAAAUCAGUGGCGGCGCCAUCUGGCUCUAAGCGUAGUAAUUCUUCUCGCUAUGGAGUCCUGGCGGAUGCUUGCCAUCAACCCCCAAUUUUUCUAUGGUUGACCUCGGAUCAGGUAGGGAUACCCGCUGAACUUAAGCAUAUCAAUAAGCGGAGGA
rnacentral:misc_RNA from 1 species